CGGAAGCCGGGUUACGGUGCC
rnacentral:snRNA from 1 species